UACGUAGGGUGCGAAGCGUUGUCCGGAAUUAUUGGCGUAAAGAGCUCGUAGGCGGUCUGUCGCGUCGGCUGUGAAACCCGGGGCUCAACCCGGGCCUGCAGUCGAUACGGGCAGACUAGAGUGCGGUAGGGGAGACUGGAUUCCUGGUGUAGCGGUGAAAUGCGCAGAUAUCAGGAGGAACACCGGUGGCGAAGGCGGGUCUCUGGCCGUAACUGACGCUGAGGAGCGAAAGCAUGGGGAGCAACAGGAU
rnacentral:rRNA from 1 species